CCUACGGGAGGCAGCAGUGGGGAAUAUUGGGCAAUGGCGGCAACUCUGACCCAGCAACGCCGCGUGAAUGAUGAAGGUCUUCGGCUUGUAAAGUUCUGUGAUGGGGGAUGAACACAAUGACGGUACCCCAAUAGCAAGCCACGGCUAACUACGUGCCUGCAGCCGCGGUAAUACGUCGGUGGCGAGCGUUCUCCGGAGUGACUGGGCGUAAAGGGUGCGUAGGUGGUCUAGUAAGUUGGCGGUGUAAUUCCGGGGCUCAACCUCGGCGCUACCGCCAAAACUAUUAGACUAGAGUGCAGGGGGGGUAAGGGGAAGUCCUGGUGUAGCGGUGGAAUGCGUAGAUAUGAGGAGGAACAUCAGGGGCGAGGGCGAGUUACGGGACUGUAACGGACACUGAGGAACGAAAGCGUGGGGAGCAAACAGGAUUAGAUACCCUGUAGUC
rnacentral:rRNA from 1 species